UCAAGCUACAAGGGCUCACGCGAUACUGCACACAGAGCGAUGAGACGUGGUACUGCGAUAGUCUCGGGAGCCUGAGCACGCUUUGAUCGGGAUC
rnacentral:rRNA from 1 species